rnacentral:piRNA from 1 species
CGGCUACGGAGCUGGGAACUGUGG